rnacentral:misc_RNA from 1 species
UCCGAGUUGACCCCGGCAGUUUCCCAUGAGUCCCCGGCAUCACCCGCUGGCAACAUAGGACAAGGGUUGCGCUCGUUGCGGGACUUAACCCAACAUCUCACGACACGAGCUGACGACAGCCAUGCACCACCUGUACACCGGCCUUGCGGAGGCCGUGUCUCCACGGCUUUCCAGUGUAUGUCAAACCCAGGUAAGGUUCUUCGCGUUGCAUCGAAUUAAUCCACAUGCUCCGCCGCUUGUGCGGGCCCCCGUCAAUCCCUUUGAGUUUUAACCUUGCGGCCGUACUCCCCAGGCGGAUGACUUAAUGCGUUAGCUACGGCACGGAAAGCGUGAAUGCUCCCCACACCUAGCGCCCAACGUUUACAGCGUGGACUAC